GACGGACGCUGGCGGCGUGCUUAACACAUGCAAGUGGAGCGACGAACCGGGCUUCGGCCCGGGGCAAAGCCGCGAACGGGUGAGUAUCACGUGGGUAACCUGCCCCGAUGACCGGGACAACCCGAGGAAACUCGGGCUAAUACCGGAUGUGCUCUCAAUCCACCAGGGUUGAGAACAAAGGAAGCUUCGGCCUCCGCAUUGGGAUGGGCCCGCGGCCCAUUAGCUUGUUGGUGAGGUAAAGGCUCACCAAGGCGACGAUGGGUAGCUGGUCUGAGAGGACGAUCAGCCACACUGGGACUGAGACACGGCCCAGACUCCUACGGGAGGCAGCAGUGGGGAAUCUUGCGCAAUGCGCGAAAGCGUGACGCAGCAACGCCGCGUGAGGGAAGAAGGCCUUCGGGUUGUAAACCUCUUUCAGGAGGGACGAAGGUUCAGGCGCGAAUAGCGUCCUGGACUGACGGUACCUCCAGAAGAAGCCCCGGCUAACUACGUGCCAGCCGCCGCCGUAAAAC
rnacentral:rRNA from 1 species